UUGACCUCGGAUCAGGCRGGGGUACCCGCUGAACUUAA
rnacentral:rRNA from 1 species